rnacentral:piRNA from 1 species
UUAGGUGCAAGACUGUUGUUACAGAAC